rnacentral:rRNA from 1 species
AUACGGAGGGUGCAAACGUUGUUCGGAAUCACUGGGCGUAAAGGGCGCGCAGGCGGUUUGAUUAGUCAGAUGUGAAAGCCCACGGCUUAACCGUGGAAGUGCAUUUGAAACUGUCAGACUUGAGUACCAGAGGGGGUAGUGGAAUUCCCGGUGUAGAGGUGAAAUUCGUAGACAUCGGGAGGAAUACCGGUGGCGAAGGCGACUACCUGGCUGGAUACUGACGCUGAGGCGCGAAAGCGUGGGGAGCAAACAGGAUUAGAUACCCUAGUAGUCC